GACGAACGCUGGCGGCGUGCUUAACACAUGCAAGUCGAACGGAAAGGCCCUGCUUUUGUGGGGUGCUCGAGUGGCGAACGGGUGAGUAACACGUGAGUAACCUGCCCUUGACUUUGGGAUAACUUCAGGAAACUGGGGCUAAUACCGGAUAGGAGCUCCUGCUGCAUGGUGGGGGUUGGUAAGUUUCGGCGGUUGGGGAUGGACUCGCGGCUUAUCAGCUUGUUGGUGGGGUAGUGGCUUACCAAGGCUUUGACGGGUAGCCGGCCUGUGAGGGUGACCGGCCACAUUGGGACUGAGAUACGGCCCAGACUCCUACGGGAGGCAGCAGUGGGGAAUAUUGCACAAUGGGCGGAAGCCUGAUGCAGCAACGCCGCGUGCGGGAUGACGGCCUUCGGGUUGUAAACCGCAUUCGCCUGUGACGAAGCGUGAGUGACGGUAAUGGGUAAAGAAGCACCGGCUAACUACGUG
rnacentral:rRNA from 1 species